AGUGAACGCUGGCGGUAGGCCUAACACAUGCAAGUCGAACGGCAGCACAGUAAGAGCUUGCUCUUACGGGUGGCGAGUGGCGGACGGGUGAGGAAUACAUCGGAAUCUACUUUUCGUGGGGGAUAACGUAGGGAAACUUACGCUAAUACCGCAUACGACCUACGGGUGAAAGCAGGGGAUCUUCGGACCCUGCGCGAUUGAAUGAGCCGAUGUCGGAUUAGCUAGUUGGCGGGGUAAAGGCCCACCAAGGCGACGAUCCGUAGCUGGUCUGAGAGGAUGAUCAGCCACACUGGAACUGAGACACGGUCCAGACUCCUACGGGAGGCAGCAGUGGGGAAUAUUGGACAAUGGGCGCAAGCCUGAUCCAGCUAUACCGCGUGGGUGAAGAAGGCCUUCGGGUUGUAAAGCCCUUUUGUUGGGAAAGAAAAGCAGCAGGUUAAUACCCCGCUGUUCUGACGGUACCCAAAGAAUAAGCACCGGCUAACUUCGUG
rnacentral:rRNA from 1 species